UUAAAUUGAAGAGUUUGAUCAUGGCUCAGAUUGAACGCUGGCGGCAGGCCUAACACAUGCAAGUCGAACGGUAACAGGAGCAG
rnacentral:rRNA from 1 species